rnacentral:rRNA from 1 species
UACGUAGGGGGCAAGCGUUGUCCGGAUUUAUUGGGCGUAAAGAGCGUGUAGGCGGCUAGGUAGGUCCGUUGUGAAAACUCGAGGCUCAACCUCGAGCUGUCGAUGGAAACCAUCUGGCUAGAGUCCGGAAGAGGAGAGUGGAAUUCCCGGUGUAGCGGUGAAAUGCGCAGAUAUCGGGAAGAACACCCGUGGCGAAGGCGGCUCUCUGGGACGGUACUGACGCUGAGACGCGAAAGCGUGGGGGAGCGAACAGG